CCUACGGGGGGCAGCAGUGGGGAAUAUUGGACAAUGGGGGCAACCCUGAUCCAGCCAUGCCGCGUGUGUGAAGAAGGCCCUCGGGUUGUAAAGCACUUUCAGUGAGGAAGAACGCCUGGUGGUUAAUACCCAUCAGGAAAGACAUCACUCACAGAAGAAGCACCGGCUAACUCCGUGCCAGCAGCCGCGGUAAUACGGAGGGUGCGAGCGUUAAUCGGAAUUACUGGGCGUAAAGCGCGCGUAGGUGGCUUGAUAAGCCGGCUGUGAAAGCCCCGGGCUCAACCUGGGAACGGCAUCCGGAACUGUCAAGCUAGAGUGCAGGAGAGGAAGGUAGAAUUCCCGGUGUAGCGGUGAAAUGCGUAGAGAUCGGGAGGAAUACCAGUGGCGAAGGCGGCCUUCUGGACUGACACUGACACUGAGGUGCGAAAGCGUGGGUAGCAAACAGGAUUAGAUACCCGGGUAGUC
rnacentral:rRNA from 1 species